ACUUUCUUAAUAUAACUAUUAUGAAUGACUUCCAAUCAUCUUGUCUUGGUGAAACCCCAAGAGAAAGUA
rnacentral:tRNA from 1 species